rnacentral:rRNA from 1 species
AGUGAACGCUGGCGGUAGGCCUAACACAUGCAAGUCGAACGGCAGCACAGUAAGAGCUUGCUCUUACGGGUGGCGAGUGGCGGACGGGUGAGGAAUACAUCGGAAUCUACUUUUUCGUGGGGGAUAACGUAGGGAAACUUACGCUAAUACCGCAUACGACCUACGGGUGAAAGCAGGGGAGCUUCGGACCUUGCGCGAUUGAAUGAGCCGAUGUCGGAUGAGCUAGUUGGCGGGGUAAAGGCCCACCAAGGCGACGAUCCGUAGCUGGUCUGAGAGGAUGGUAAGCGGCACUGGAACGGGGACACGGUCCAGACGCCUGCGGGAGGCAGCAGUGGGGAAUAUUGGACAAUGGGCGCAAGCCUUAUCCAGCGAUACCGAGUGGGAGAAGAAGGCCUUCGGGUUGGGAAGACCGUUUGUUGGGAGAGAAAAGCAGCAGGUUAAUACCACGCUGUUCUGGCGGUACCCAAAGAAUAAGCACCGGCUAACUUCGUGC